AGGAUUAACGCUGGCGGAGUGCCUAACACAUGCAAGUCGAGCGGCAGCGCGAGUAGUUUACUACUUGGCGGCGAGCGGCGGACGGCUGAGUAACGCGUGGGAACGUGCCCCAAAGUGAGGAAUAACUGCCCGAAAGGGUAGCUAAUGCCGCAUAUGAUCUUCGGAUUAAAGGAUUUAUCCGCUUUGGGAGCGGCCCGCGUCAGAUUAGGUAGUUGGUGAGGUAAAGGCUCACCAAGCCGACGAUCUGUAGCUGGUCUGAGAGGAUGACCAGCCAGACUGGAACUGAGACACGGUCCAGACUCCGUACGGGAGGCAGCAGUGAGGAAUCUUCCACAAUGGGGGAAACCCUGAGUGGAGCAACUCCGCGUGCGAGGAUGGAACGGUCCGUUCGGGUACGUAAACUGUACGUUUUAGUGUAGUAGAAGAAUUAUAGGUACGUUAACUAC
rnacentral:rRNA from 1 species